GACGAACGCUGGCGACGUGCUUAACACAUGCCAGUCGAACGGAAAGGCCCUGCUUUUGUGGGGUGCUCGAGUGGCGAACGGGUGAGUAACACGUGAGUAACCUGCCCUUGACUUUGGGAUAACUUCAGGAAACUGGGGCUAAUACCGGAUAGGAGCUCCUGCUGCAUGGUGGGGGUUGGAAAGUUUCGGCGGUUGGGGAUGGACUCGCGGCUUAUCAGCUUGUUGGUGGGGUAGUGGCUUACCAAGGCUUUGACGGGUAGCCGGCCUGAGAGGGUGACCGGCCACAUUGGGACUGAGAUACGGCCCAGACUCCUACGGGAGGCAGCAGUGGGGAAUAUUGCACAAUGGGCGGAAGCCUGAUGCAGCAACGCCGCGUGCGGGAUGACGGCCUUCGGGUUGUAAACCGCUUUCGCCUGUGACGAAGCGUGAGUGACGGUAAUGGGUAAAGAAGCACCGGCUAACUACGUG
rnacentral:rRNA from 1 species